rnacentral:rRNA from 1 species
UUCUUAUAAAUUAUUGAUUUUUUGUUGUUAUGUAGGUGGUCGAACAAGUAUUUUUUGGUUGAAUUAUUAUUUAAGAAAUAAUUGUUUUUAUUAUAGUUGAUUAGUAUUGUGAGAGAAUUUCUUAAAAGUGGUAAAGAAGAUAAAUUUUGUACCUUGUGUGUCAGGGUUUAUUGAUUAUUUGUAAUAGAUUUUAGUUUCCCGAAUUAAAAAGAGCUAGAUUUUUAUUUAUUUUAUUGUAGAACAAAUAUUUAAAAUAAAAGUUUUGUAGUGAAAUGUUAGUCGAUUUUUAAUAUAUCUGGUUUUUAAAGAAACAAGUUUAAUUGGUUUAUAAAUAGUAGUUUGAGGCUUCCUUUUUAGCUGAUUAUUUUUUAUAUAAAAUAUUUUUGGGGAUGAGCUUAAAAGUAAAAGAUUAAAAUUUUAUAUUGAGAUUAUUUAUUUUUAGGAUUAAAAUUGUUCAUAAAGUUAGAGAAUGUAAUAAUUUAUGAAUUAUCAUUUAAGAUUUAUAUAGAAUUUAAGUUUUUUAUUUAAAAUAUUUAUUUAAUUGAUAAGUAAAUUUUAUAAUAAUAAAAUUAGUAUACAAAUUUAUAUUUUUAGUAAAUUGAAAAUUAAGUUAAAGGAAUUCGGCAAUGUCAUUUUUCACCUGUUUAUUAAAAACAUGUCUUUUUGAAAAUAAUUUUAGGUUGGCCCUGCCCACUGAUGAAUUAAAUGGCCGCAGUAUACUGACUGUGCAAAGGUAGCAUAAUCAUUAGUUUUUUAAUUGAAAGCUGGAAUGAAGGGGUUGAUGAAAAAAUAGCUGUCUCUGGCUUAGAAAGUAGAAUUUUAUUUUUAAGUUAAAAAGCUUAAAUAGGUUUAAAAGACGAUAAGACCCUAUAGAGUUUAAUAUUUGCUGAUAAGGAUAUUAAUAGGGAUCAAUAAUGUAUUUUUAUUAUCAAUAUUUUGUUGGGGUGACAUUGAAAUUAAGUUAACUUUUAAUUAAUAGUAACAUAAAUAAAUGAAUAUUUGAUCCGUUUUUUACGAUUAUAAGAAUAAAUUACCUUAGGGAUAACAGCGUUAUCUUUUUUAGAGUUCCUAUCGAAUGAAGGGAUUGCGACCUCGAUGUUGGAUUAAAAUAAAUUUUUGGUGCAGAAGAUAAGUAAUUAGGUCUGUUCGACCUUUAAAAUUUUACAUGAUCUGAGUUUAGACCGGCGUGAGCCAGGUUGGUUUCUAUCUUUAAAUAAUAAUUUAUAUUUUAGUACGAAAGGAUUAAGUAUGAAAUUUAAAAUUUA